UACGGAGGGUGCAAGCGUUGUCCGGAAUCACUGGGCGUAAAGGGCGCGUAGGCGGCUCAUGAAGGCUGUGGUGAAAGUCCGGGGCUCAACCUCGGAUCGGCCGUGGCGACUCGUGGGCUGGAGCACUGUAGAGGCGGGUGGAAUUCCGGGUGUAGCGGUGGAAUGCGUAGAGAUCCGGAGGAAGACCGGUGGCGAAGGCGGCCUGCUGGGCAGUUACUGACACUGAGGCGCGACAGCGUGGGGAGCAAACAGG
rnacentral:rRNA from 1 species